GGUGGUGGUAGGAAGAUGUCGGGCGAGGACGAGCAGCAGGAGCAAACUAUCACCGAGGACCUGGUCGUGACCAAGGGUACUUCGGUCCUUGGUGGAAGCAUCUAGCUCAGGUGUGUCGGUACUGAGCCUGUGUGAGAAAGGUGAUGCCAUGAUUAUGGAAGAAACAGGGAAAAUCUUUAAGAAAGAAAAGGAAAUAAAGAAAGGUAUUGCUUUUCCCACCAGCAUUUCGGUAAAUAAUUGUGUAUGUCACUUCUCCCCUUUGAAGAGCGACCAGGAUUAUAUUCUCAAGGAAGGUGACUUGGUAAAAAUUGACCUUGGGGUCCAUGUGGAUGGCUUCAUCGCUAAUGUAGCUCAUACUUUUGUAGUUGAUGUAGCUCAGGGGACCCAAGUAACCGGGAGGAAAGCAGAUGUUAUUAAGGCAGCUCACCUUUGUGCCGAAGCUGCCCUACGCUUGGUCAAACCUGGAAACCAGAACACACAAGUGACAGAAGCCUGGAACAAAGUUGCCCACUCAUUUAACUGCACGCCAAUAGAAGGUAUGCUGUCACACCAGUUGAAGCAGCAUGUCAUUGAUGGAGAAAAAACCAUUAUCCAGAAUCCCACAGACCAGCAGAAGAAGGACCAUGAAAAAGCUGAAUUUGAGGUACAUGAAGUAUAUGCUGUGGAUGUUCUCGUCAGCUCAGGAGAGGGCAAGGCCAAGGAUGCAGGACAGAGAACCACUAUUUACAAACGAGACCCCUCUAAACAGUAUGGACUGAAAAUGAAAACUUCACGUGCCUUCUUCAGUGAGGUGGAAAGGCGUUUUGAUGCCAUGCCAUUUACUUUAAGAGCAUCUGAAGAUGAGAAGAAGGCUCGGAUGGGUGUGGUAGAGUGCGCCAAACAUGAACUGCUGCAACCAUUUAAUGUUCUCUAUGAGAAGGAGGGUGAAUUUGUUGCCCAGUUUAAAUUUACAGUUCUGCUCAUGCCCAAUGGCCCCAUGCGGAUAACCAGCGGUCCCUUUGAGCCUGACCUCUAUAAGUCUGAGAUGGAGGUCCAGGAUGCAGAGCUAAAGGCCCUCCUCCAGAGUUCUGCAAGUCGAAAAACCCAGAAAAAGAAAAAAAAGAAGGCCUCCAAGACUGCAGAGAAUGCCACCAGUGGGGAAACAUUAGAAGAAAAUGAAGCUGGGGACUGAGGACCGCCAGCAGAGCAGGGGGUCUCCCCACCCCAGUUCCCCAGCCCACUCCCAACAACAACCAGCUCCAACUGACUCUGGUCUUGGGAGGCAAGGCUUCCCAACCACGGAAGACUACUUUAAAUGAAAAAAAGAAAUUGAAUAAUAAAAUCAGGAGUCAAAAUUCAUCGUCUUCAAGCCCCUCUUUCUAGCCUUUUCUACUACUUUCUGCUUGGUCAAGGUUUGUAGCCCUACCACAGAACAGGGCUAAAUUAGCCACCGCCACUGAAAACUCAGCUGAAUUUUUUUAUACCACUCUGAUGUCAGCGUUUUUCCAUCUGUUUGGGGCUUUUUCCUCUCUUUUUCCCAUUUUCCCCAAGUAUUUUAUCUGGCUUCAAAAUUAGGAGGAUUAUUUUUCAGAUUGUUUUUAUUCAGUGUGGCCGAUUCCUCAUCUUGAUUCAGGCCGUCCAGUCAGGCCCUUCCCAAUUUAGGAUUUGGAGCCUUCAUUUAUGAAGAGAUUCUUAUCUAUGAAAUGGAUCCUCAUUUGUAAAUCUUUGUUCUUCCAUUUUCACAAAGCUGUAAAGAAAUAAUUCAUCUCAACCUUACCCUUUUCUCUGGAGUCAGUGGGGUCUUCCCUCACUCCAUCUUACACAAACCUGAGCUGGAAGCUCAACUGGUUUUGUUCCCUGUUUGAAAUAUUGUGAUCUCCCUCCCUUGA